GAGCCAGACUUGGCCUGCGAGACCGAUCUGCAACCUCCUACUCCAUUCCUGGAGGCUCUGCAUUUUCUGAUUUCACCCCUUUCUAAGAUAUGACUCAUCAUUGUCAGUUUUCAAUAUACUUCGUAUAGUUAGUUCAAAAGGAAAAAUCCGUCAAGGCGCAAGAGAGAAGCAAGCUGUGCUUCUCCGCUGAGGAAGAGUGACCGCUGACACUUGCAGAAGUACCGCCGUUCCUACGCUCGGCAGCAUCGUGGGCCAUGUGCGGAGCAUCUCCACUGGGGGAAUGGGGACGGAUGAGACUGCCCUGCCCUCAGGGAGCGGUCCUGGCAAGCAGGCUUUCUGCUCUCCAGACUCCCUCCCAACAGGACUGUCAAGGCUCCUGUGGCUCGAAGCAUCAUCCAAGAGUCUCACUACUAUUUCUAAGGCUAAAUCUACAGUCCAAGCCCCUUGGAAACACGUGUCUCACAGACAUUUCAAAGUAACUCCUUCCAGAGAUAGGGGUAUUUGAACACGGACCACUGCUGUCAAUGUGUAUCAAUGACUAUGCUAUCAAGUGCAAAGCACCACUUUUUGGCCCCACUUUUUUAAAAAAAGGAAGUAAAAGCUUCAUGUGGCCUGCGCUGUUACUUCUCUAUGGAAAGCCACAAGGCCUCAAAACUGGCAAAACAUCUGCUUCUCGGAGACCAGCCUUUACCUUGUGGUUUACCAGAAACAUAGAGCAGACUUUCAAAUCGAAACCAAGCCGACCCAUCAGAGCCGUCAAUGCUUAGGAUAAAUCAGUAUGUUAAACGGGUUUCCUUCUAAUAAUUCAUCUCUUCGAAUGGGGACUCUAAUUUUAUAACUGACACUGCUGACUUACAAACGGACAGGUACCAGAAGCCUCUAAAUGAAAGUUCACAGACACGAUCUGUUUCUUGACAGCACUCUAGCAGCUGAGAUGAAAUUGAGCACUUCCAGCGAAUGAGCCUCAUGAAUGAUGCCAUGCCCACUGGCUGUUCUGUCCCUGACGGUGAGGAGAUGCUAGAAAGCUAAGAAGCCAAGGGUGAAGGAGGAAGAAGACUGGCCAGGGCGAGAACUGUGGCUGGGGCACUGCCUGAGCUCCAGGCAGCCCUGCCUUGCUUGCACCACAGGCUGGCAGACUGGCUACCCUUAGACCCACGAGCUGAGGAUCCUGGGGCGUUGGCACUGGUUUCUCUGGUGCUGCGUGUUUCCCAUCAACCUGCAUGUUCCCUGGGAGCACAAAACCAAUCCUCUUCUUUUUCUGAAUCCACAUGGCCAGAUGAGAUCCAAAUAUAAAUACACAUUUAUUUACGGAUUGGAGACGGUGCUGUGCUUUGUCUUACAACUUAGUUUGUGACUGUGCUCCAGUUUUUCUUUAUGGAAAUGUAUUUCAGCGUAUGACAUCGAGUUACAAUGUGUACGUGUUAAUUGGAGACAUUUAUAUACCACACUAGGAUGGCCCUGGUAGUGACAGCACUUUCACCACGCUACGUAAGUAUGCCCCAGAUUUUAAACAAACUGCUGUAGUUUUGCUCUUAUGGAGCUGAAACUUCAUGUCGCCAUCAGGAGUUACCUACCUAUAGGUUCCUGGUAGGGAACAUUUUUUUAAAAGUGAGUUACCUGAACACAGAACUUACAGCUAAGUUUGGGUUUUAAUAGCAUCUGGAGAGCUCUAUUUCUCAUUUUUGCUAUAAUGGAAAGAAUAUGAGAUUCAAACUCGGAAGUCCUAGUCUGGGGUUAAUAGAUGCAAACUAUUGCAUUUGGAGUGGAUAAGCAAUGAGAUUCUGAAUACUGCACACAGAACUAAAUCUAGUCCCUUGUGAUGGUACAUGAUGGUGGAUAAUGUGAGAAAAAGAAUGUGUGUGUGUGUGUGUGUGUGUGUGUGUGUGUGUGAGAGAGAGAGAGAGAGAGAGAGAGAGACACUGGGUCACUCUGCUAUACAGCAGAAAAUUGAGGGAGUUCCUGUCAUGGCUUAGUGGUUAGUGAACCUGACUACUAACCAUGAGGUUGUGGGUUCAAUCCCUGGCCUUGCUCAGUGGGUUAAGGAUCCGGCAUUGCCGUGAUCUGUGCUGUGGGUUGCAGAUGCAGCUCGGAUCCUGCAUUGUUGUGGCUCUGGCGUGGGCCGGUAGCUAUGGCUCUGAUUGGACCCCUAGCCUGGGAACCUCCAUAUGCCAUGGGUACAGCCCUCAAAAGACAAAACACACACACACACACACACACACACACACACACACACACAAAAACAAAAAAAAGUUGACAGAAUACUGUAAACCAAGUAUAAUGGAAAAAAUAAAAAUCAUUAAAAAACCAAA
rnacentral:lncRNA from 1 species